rnacentral:rRNA from 1 species
GACGAACGCUGGCGGCGUGCUUAACACAUGCAAGUCGAACGGAAAGGCCUCUUUCGGGGGGUACUCGAGUGGCGAACGGGUGAGUAACACGUGAGUAACCUGCCCUUGACUUUGGGAUAACUUCAGGAAACUGGGGCUAAUACCGGAUAGGAGCUCCUGCUGCAUGGUGGGGGUUGGAAAGUUUCGGCGGUUGGGGAUGGACUCGCGGCUUAUCAGCUUGUUGGUGGGGUAGUGGCUUACCAAGGCUUUGACGGGUAGCCGGCCUGAGAGGGUGACCGGCCACAUUGGGACUGAGAUACGGCCCAGACUCCUACAGGAGGCAGCGGUGGGGAAUAUUGCACAAUGGGUGGAAGCCUGAUGCAGCAACGCCGUGUGCGGGAUGACGGCCUUCGGGUUGUAAACCGCUUUCGCUCAUGACGAAGCUUUGUGUGACGGUAGUGGGUAAAGAGGCACCGGCUAACUACGUG